UACAGAGGGGGCAAGCGUUGUUCGGAAUUACUGGGCGUAAAGGGCGCGUAGGCGGCCUUCUAAGUCGAACGUGAAAUCCCCGGGCUCAACCCGGGAACUGCGUCCGAUACUGGAAGGCUUGAAUCCGGGAGAGGGAUGCGGAAUUCCAGGUGUAGCGGUGAAAUGCGUAGAUAUUGGGAGGAACACCGGUGGCGAAGGCGGCUACCUGGACCGGUACUGACGCUGAGGCGCGAAAGCCAGGGGAGCAAACGGG
rnacentral:rRNA from 1 species